rnacentral:lncRNA from 1 species
UAUAUAUAUAUAUAUAUAUAUAUGGAGGGCUACAGAAAUAAAAGACAUCGGCUGGGAGGAUUGGAUAGAGAAAGAUUAGGUUGAUAAAGAGCCUGGAUUAAUAUGGAUGUUUUUUUUUGGGGGGGGUUGUAUUCUAACUGCUGUGUUGAUUUUUUUAUAGGGAUCUUGCUGCGUAAUCGGAAGGCAAAGAGAAGAGGAAAAUUGGUUAGGACAGAUGAUUUCUCAGGAUUUUUCUAAUUUUUUCUGCAUUUUUUUUUGCUGAUUCACGUAUUUUUUUUUCCUCAUUAGUUUAUAUGAAAUCAUUAUUUUCUCAUAUGAGAAACAGACAAUCUAUUCCUCAUUAGAAAUAGAGAAGGGUUGCUGCAUGGAUUUAUGCAGCCUUCCACUUCUUUCACUAACAUCAUAUGAGAGAGGGGAAGAACAGAAGAUUGCUAUCUAGGUUUGAUAGCCAUCCAUGCCAUCCACAUUGUGCCACAAAAAUAAAAGGAAAAAAAAAAAACAACGGUUGCUGCUCAAGUUCGGCAACCUUCUAGUGGAGUGAUUGGCUUUAGAAGAGUGGAAAGAGGCGGAUCGCGGUAGGGAGAUAUGGGUAAUAUAGAUCGGUGAGCAGAAAGAGAGGGGAGGAGCAGGUUGCAGAUCCUCAAAGUGUUGAGUUAGUGGGUGGAGCAAAAUGAGUUAUAGAUUAUUAGGUUAGCGGGUUUGAAGACCCGUUAUGGCUGAAUAUGGGUUGGUGGGUUAAGAGGUGCACUAAUUGGGUUGUGGGUAUAGAGUUAAUGGGCACUGGUUAGGUUUUAGUUGAGCCUGUUGGUUAGGUUAGGAUUAGGCAUCUGGUUAGGUUCAGGUUGAGAGAAUUGUGUUAGGGUUAGUAUUAGGAUUCAAUUAGGUUUAGGGUUAGAAUUAGGAUCUGGGGUCGGGUUAGGGUUGGGAGUUGGAUUAGGGUUAGGAAAUGGGGUCAGAGAGAAGAUGAGGUUAGAGAAAACAACCAAGAACAAAAAAAACCUAGGGUUAUGGAGAAGAUAGGAUCAGAGAACACAACCAAAAAAGAAAGGAAAAGGAAUAGGGAAAAAAAAAGGGAACAGAUAAAAGAAAAAAAAAAAGAACUAGAUUAGAUUAAGAAAGCGGGAAAAAUAAUACGAUUAGGAUUGGAACCUGAUCCGAUUAGGGUGGGAAGUUGGGUUAGGGUUAGGACUAGGAAAUAGGGUCAGAGAGAAAAUGGGAUUGGAGAAGAUAAUUUAAAAAAAAAUCAAAAAAAAAAAAGGGUUAGGGGGAAGAUAGGAUUAAAGAAUGGAAUUGGAAAAGGGAACAAGAAAAAAAAGAAACCGAUAGAGAAGAAAAAAAAGAAACCGAUAGAAAAGGCGGCAUUUAAAAAAAAAAAAAUAUAUCUGUGCAGCCGUUGGGAAUUUGUGGGGAGGAAAUUACCCGAGGGAGAUUGAAAAAGCCUAACCUCGGGUGGAGACAUCGAAGCGUGGAGGAAGAAGAGAAGGAGAUCUCAGCGGAAAAAACCCUUAACGCCUAAAUACCCUCGAAUCCAAACGCUCCCGAGUGUUCGCUAAUGCUCGGUUCAACCUAGGGAGAGAAGAAAAGGAAAAGGGGAAGUUGAGCUAGGGAGGGGCAGAGAUGGAGAGGGGGGAUAAGAGAAGCGACGGCAACAUGGGGAGUGGGAAAGGCGGCGAUGUGGAGAGUGAAAAUGGGUUGGGGUUUGGAGAGGAACAGAGAUGGAGAAGAAGGAUAAGGGAAGUGACGGCGGCAUGGGUAAGGCGACGGCGGCAUGAGGAGUGGGUAAGGCGGCGGUGUGGAGAGUGGAAAUAGGUUAGGGUUUGGUGAGGAAUGGAGAUGGAGGAGGGGGAUGAGGGAAGGGACCGCGGCGUGGGAGAGGUGGCGGUGGUGGGGAGAAUCGGAGGAUUAGAGAAGGAGAUUGUGAGUGCCAGUGGUGGUGGGAGAAAUCGGAGGCAUAGAGGAAGGGUAUGGGAGCGGCGACGGCGGUGGGUAGGGAGAGAGGGUUAGGGUUUGAGAGAUCAAAAAGGGUUGGCUGCAUGAAUUUUUUAUGGGUUGCCGAUGCAUAGGAAAGAAGAAAAGGGUUCAUACAUGAGUGUGCCCUCAUAGAAAAUAUAUAGGGAAC